rnacentral:misc_RNA from 1 species
GAUGAAGAACGUAGCGAAAUGCGAUACUUGGUGUGAAUUGCAGAAUCCCGUGAACCAUCGAGUCUUUGAACGCAAGUUGUGCCCGAAGCCACUAGGCCGAGGGCACGCCUGCCUGGGCGUCACACGUCGUUGCCCCCCCAUCUACUCCUUCGGGAUUGCGGGGGGGCGGAUGAUGGCCUCCCGUGCGCCUAGCCGCGCGGUUGGCAUAAAUACCAAGUCCUCGGCGACGCACGCCACGACAAUCGGUGGUUGCGAAACCUCGGUUGCCCGUCGUGUGCGUUCGUCGCGCAUCGAGGGCUCGAAAAAAUGCUCGGCUCCGGCUGGGCUUUCAACGCGACCCCAGGUCAGGCGGGGUUACCCGCUGAAUUUAAGCAUAUCAAUAGGCGGAGGA